AACGAACGCUGGCGGCAGGCCUAACACAUGCAAGUCGAACGGGACCUUCGGGUCUAGUGGCGGACGGGUGAGUAACGCGUGGGAACGUGCCCUUUGGUUCGGAAUAGCCCCGGGAAACUGGGAGUAAUACCGGAUAAGCCCUACGGGGGAAAGAUUUAUCGCCAAAGGAUCGGCCCGCGUUGGAUUAGGUAGUUGGUGGGGUAAUGGCUCGCCAAGCCGACGAUCCAUAGCUGGUUUGAGAGGAUGAUCAGCCACACUGGGACUGAGACACGGCCCAGACUCCUACGGGAGGCAGCAGUGGGGAAUCUUAGACAAUGGGGGAAACCCUGAUCUAGCCAUGCCGCGUGAUCGAUGAAGGCCUUAGAGUUGUAAAGAUCUUGCAGUGGGGAAGAUAAUGACUGUACCCACAGAAGAAGCCCCGGCUAACUCCGUGCCAGCAGCCGCGGUAA
rnacentral:rRNA from 1 species